rnacentral:rRNA from 1 species
UACGGAGGGUGCGAGCGUUGUCCGGAAUCAUUGGGCGUAAAGGGCGCGUAGGUGGCCCGGUCAGUCGAUGGUGAAAGCGCGGGGCUCAACUCCGCGUCGGCCGUCGAUACUGCUGGGCUUGAGCACUGUAGAGGCAGGCGGAAUUCCGGGUGUAACGGUGGAAUGCGUAGAGAUCCGGAAGAACACCGGCAGCGAAGGCGGCCUGCUGGGCAGUGGCUGACACUGAGGCGCGACAGCGUGGGGAGCAAACAGG